CAUAGCAGUAAACAGCACGACUGAAAGGCACUGGGGCAACCAGGAGACCUUGUAGCUCUAAUUCCUGGAGCUUUCCAUCCUGCUCAGCCUCAGUUAUUUUUUUCUAAAACCACUUUUCUGAAUUUGUGCUCAUCCUACGUCACAGUUUUUAACUCUGGACACACUCUUAUCUGGGAACAAGCACAGCGAUGUUCUUUGGGAGCACCUGGGAAACCAAGGACGAGAAAGCUGGAAUUACUCCACAUCAGACUAGAAGAUAUCCACAAAACUGUGCUUUCCACUCCUUAAAAAUAUAUCAGCUCCCAGUUGUUCUUCUGACCUAUCUUCUGAAGCAGACUGAAGCUGACUGAAGCAGACUCCUGCCAAUUUUGACAUCUGUUUCACAACACUUGAAUCACUUUUCCUAUCAGGUGGCAUUUCUGUUGGAGUUUUCCAAAAGACAUUAACAUUCCUUAGUCAAAUUAUCCCAGUGUCUGAUGUCCUUGUAAUUCCCAGUGUCUGUGUUGGCAGGUUCUUACCUGUACAA